rnacentral:rRNA from 1 species
UACGGAGGGUGCAAGCGUUAUCCGGAUUCACUGGGUUUAAAGGGUGCGUAGGCGGGCAGAUAAGUCAGUGGUGAAAUCUCCGAGCUUAACUCGGAAACUGCCGUUGAUACUAUGUGUCUUGAAUACUGUGGAGGUAAGCGGAAUAUGUCAUGUAGCGGUGAAAUGCUUAGAUAUGACAUAGAACAUCAAUUGCGAAGGCAGCUUACUACACAGCGAUUAAUGCUGAGGCACGUAAGCGUGGGGAUCAAACAGG